UACGGAGGGUGCGAGCGUUAUCCGGAAUUACUGGGUUUAAAGGGUGCGUAGGCGGCUAUGUAAGUCAGGAGUGAAAGUUUGCGGCUCAACCGUAAAAUUGCUUUUGAUACUGCAUGGCUGGAAUUAGGAUGAGGUCAGCGGAAUGUGGCAUGUAGCGGUGAAAUGCAUAGAUAUGCCAUAGAACACCAAUUGCGAAGGCAGCUGGCUAGACCUGGAUUGACGCUGAGGCACGAAAGCGUGGGGAGCGAACAGG
rnacentral:rRNA from 2 species